rnacentral:lncRNA from 1 species
GUUUUAAAUUUUUAGAUAAAAUUAUGUUGUUGUUUUGUUCAUGAAUUUGGGUUUUUUUUAACUUCAUCAUACACAAUUAAAUAAGAAGUGACUUACCUGAGAAAUGUGAUUUUAAGUCUUUCCUAAAGAUCAAUCCUUAAAGACAUGAGAGAGAAUGCAAACCUGAGUGAAGCUUAAUUAAAUUUCAUUAUAAUUAAUUGGUGCUUAUUUUGUAAUCACAGCAGUUCUUACUUCUUCAAAAUGAACAUCUUUUCCUCCUGAGGAAUUCAGCCUGUUCAAACAGCACCAAUGUUAUUUCCCAGUUCGUGAAAAUUGAAAAGAUAAGAGAGUUUUAUAGUAGAAACACUGCAGCUCAAUCAGUGCUACUGGCCCUACACCAAGAAAUGAUUUGUUCUUUUGAAUGUCAGACUGGUUGGACAUGCUUUACCUGUUCUAUUAUGCAAGAAAAUCCACCGGCAACAGAGAGAGUUCAAGGCAAAAUAAGAGCAUAUGCAGUGAGAAACUCCAGUACAGAUACUAGAGAUAUGUUUUUUAUUAAGCUUAUAAGGGUAUACCAACAGCUGCAUGUCACAUAGAAAUAUAAAGAAAAUUUAAUCCCAGGAACAAUAUGGAGGUAUUAACUGGGAGGAAGUCAAUUUAUACAACCUUUGUGACAUCAGGAGCUUUACAGGAUGUGACUUCUUAUUUCUGUAGGCCUCCUAUUGGAAGUUUGAGGAGAGGUUCUGUAUAGAAAAGAACUUUUAUAUUUGAAAUUCUGGAUGAAAUAUGAAAUAAUGUCCUGUCGCACUGGGGCUUUCUAUUUAACGUCUCCCUGAACUUGUUCUUUCUGUGUAUGAAAGCCUUGAAGCUUAAUAAAUAAAUUCAACACAUUCUUCUAUAUGAAAAG